GUUGACCUCGGAUCGGGUAGGGAUACCCGCUGAACUUAAGCAUAUCAAUAAGCGGAGGAAAAGAAACCAACAGGGAUUGCCCUAGUAACGGCGAGUGAAGCGGCAACAGCUCAAAUUUGAAAUCGGCCCCCCGGUCGAGUUGUAAUUUGCAGAGGAUGCUUCUGGG
rnacentral:rRNA from 1 species